UACGUAGGGGGGCAAGCGUUGUCCGGAUUUAUUGGGCGUAAAGAGCGUGUAGGCGGCCAGAAAAGUCCGCUGUGAAAACUCGAGGCUCAACUUCGAGCUGUCGGUGGAAACUUUCUGGCUAGAGUCCGGAAGAGGAGAAUGGAAUUCCUGGUGUAGCGGUGAAAUGCGCAGAUAUCAGGAAGAACACCCGUGGCGAAGGCGGUUCUCUGGGACGGUACUGACGCUGAGACGCGAAAGCGUGGGGAGCGAACAGG
rnacentral:rRNA from 1 species